rnacentral:rRNA from 1 species
AUGGGCUGUCGUAGCCUUGUUGCCCUUGUCCUGACUGCUGCGGAGAAGUUGGGUAGUAUCCUUGUUGCCCUUGUCCUAAUUGUUGCCCUUAAAUUGGGUAGUACCCUUGUUGUCCUUGUCCUGAUUGUUGCUUUUGUCCUGGCUGCUGACCUUGUUGCCCUUGUUCUAGUUGUUGCCCUUGUCCUGACUGUUGGCCUUGUUGCCCUCGUUCUGGUUGCUGCCCUUGUUGGCCUUGUGUUAGUUGUUGCAAUUGUCCUGGCUGCUGCGAAGAAGUUGGAUAGUAUCUUGGUUGCCCUUGUCCUGACUGCUGACCUUGUUGUCCUUGUCUUAGUUGCUGCCCUUGUCCUGGUUGCUGUCUUUGUUGCUCUUGUGUUGGUUGUUGCAAUUGUUCUGGCUGCCAUGGAGAAGUUGGAUAGUACCCUGGUUGCUCUUGUCCUGACUGCUGCGGAGAAGUUGGGUAGUACCCUGAUUGCCCUUGUCCCGGUUGUUGCCAUUGUCCUGACUGUUGCGGAGAAGUUAGGUAGUAUUCUUGUUGUCCUUGUCCUGGCUGCUGACCUUGUCCUGGCCGUUGCGAAGAAGCUUGGCCUGGAUAGUAUGAAACCCGUUGCGGAGAAGUUACACUUAGGUAAUACCUUCUUAGUAGUGCAGGUAUUCCCCAAAGUAUACUUUGUUGGAGUUGCUGUGGUGGCGUGGUCUCGCCGGGGUAGAAAGAUCCACCCUUGGGCGGCACCACGACUUGCUGCUCAUAUUGUCUCGCGACCGGGCCGCCGCCGACGGGUUGGCACUCGGGGCUAA